GACAGAGGUGCCAAGCGUUAGGCGGAAUCACUGGGCUUAAAGCGUGUGUAGGCGGAUUCCUAAGUACCUUGUGAAAUCCCACGGCUCAACCGUGGAACUGCUCGGUAUACUGGGUAUCUUGAGUCACUUAGGGGCGACCGGAACAAAUGGUGGAGCGGUGAAAUGCGCAGAUAUCAUUUGGAACGCCAAUGGUGAAAACAGGUCGCUGGGAGUGUGCUGACGCUGAGACACGAAAGCCAGGGGAGCAAACGGG
rnacentral:rRNA from 1 species